GACCUCCCCACUUAUCAAAAAAAGAGGAGCCAUUUGGUUGAAGUGCUUUCCUCCAGGCCAAGACUGAUAAGGCUGCUGGGAGCUCAUGCUGAUUCACCAUGAGCUAAGAGAAAACAGGCACUAAUUAGGAACUGCAAAUAUACACCAUCAAACAACAGGACUUUAAAGCAAAAUGUGUAUUUUGGAGUUUUUUUCCCCCCUUAAUCCUCACCUAUCACCUAUCAGCAAUGACCAAACCCUCUUCAACACUUAGAGCCUGGUCUCAGCCUACUACCCAGCUUCCUACUCCUGCUUUAACACAGCUCAGCACUCCAGAAGAUUUCAUGGAAAUCAUUUGGUGCAGAAAUGUCAGAAGGCAGCACCAGGCACUGGAGAGAUCCUGUUCUGGUGUUUUUCUAAUACAACAGGACAUCAAGAAGCACCAAAACUGGGACCAGUGUGCAACAGGUUUGCCUAAGCAAGUCAUGUAUUCUAUUACUCACAGGGGUAAUGCUGCUGAGGUUGUUUUUUUUCCUGGAAUCGGUUCUCCAAUCUAUUUGAUUGCCUGACCACACAAGCAGCUGCAUUAGCACAAGGGGAAAGCAGGACAGCCUCUUUCACCACCACCACCACCAAAACCUUCACUGAAACAAAGCCCUCGGGUGACAGUGUAAUAAGCACAAAGAACCAGUCUUGUGGCUUAUACUAUAAAAAGUGACACUCCUCUC